rnacentral:rRNA from 1 species
CAGUCGCCACGGUAACACGUAGGUGGCAAGCGUUGUCCGGAAUUAUUGGGCGUAAAGGGCUCGCAGGCGGUUUCUUAAGUCUGAUGUGAAUGCCCCCGGCUCAACCGGGGAGGGUCAUUGGAAACUGGGAAACUUGAGUGCAGAAGAGGAGAGUGGAAUUCCACGUGUAGCGGUGAAAUGCAUAGAGAUGUGGAGGAACACCAGUGGCGAAGGCGACUCUCUGGUCUGUAACUGACGCUGAGGAGCGAAAGCGUGGGGAGCGAACAGGAUUAGAUACCCCAGUAGUCCUUGUCUCUUAUAC